rnacentral:lncRNA from 1 species
CCGGUUAAAUCUCAUCUGCCUUCAAUUUGGAGCAAGCGCCAGUAUCAAAGUAGUUCAAGACAUUUUAAGCGAACAAUCUUUUUCCAUUUAAACCAUCAAAUGGAUGCUAUAACUGCUGCAAAGGAAGCAGGAAAACAUUGAAGAAGGUGCACAUAUCACAUCCUGUAAUAUCAAGUAGACUAUAAAGCCUGUAAUCAUAAGAUUGAAUAGACUAUAAAGUCUUAAGCUAGUUACUAAAAUCUUAACAAUAUUAAAGGAAAACAUUAAAAUUAAAAGAUGCAAAUAUAGUAAGGAUCUCAAUAAGCCUUUUAUAAUUCAGUUUAGGAAACAACAACCAGUAAUUAGUUAUUGGUAAUUUCAUUUAAUACAACAACCAGUAAUUAGAGAGAGAGUUUCAUGGGAUCAAAAACUUUUCAUGGGAUCAAAAACUGAGUUUCUCAGCAAGUGCACUUCGUUAUAACCAAAUACAAUGAGAAUAACGCAUCUAUUUGUCUUUGAUUUGAAAGUAAUGCUGCGAAUACAAGGCAUCCAUGGUAUCUCCAGGAACAUUUUAGUAUAUGGGUUAGAGGCCUAAAACAAAUUGACAAAACUAAAUACUUUAUGUAGCAUGCAUGAUUUUCCACACAUACUAUGCUCAUCUUUUUUAAUAAUAUGUGGAGAUGAUCUAAUCAAGGAAAUAAGUGUAUAAGUUGACCUAAGUUUUGAAAUCCGUUAUCAAAAAAUGUAUUAGCAAUGAUGCACUGAAAAGAUAUCCUCAAACUCCAAUUCCUAUCCAAAAGCUUUCUAAGCAAUCCUAUAAAUCAAGACCCAUGAAUUACAAUUGAUUUGCAAGUGUACUAGGAUCCAUACUAUCAUGAGUAGAGCAAUAUUAAACACAUCUCACCAGCACAUCAGACCAUCACACAAUCUAAGAUUUUAAAUAUAAGAUCAUUCAGCUGUAAGAGGUGGAUUUCCAUAUACGUUGGCAUAAAAGCCGAAUAAAUUACAUAUAAGCAUUAAACAUUAUUUCUUUAGUUUGUCAACUGUCCUAAUUGAUCAACGCACUAAUUAGCAACGAAGUGAAUGCAGAUCUGGCAUUGGAAGAUGCAAACUAAACAACAAGGCUAUGGCCAGUCAUAGUUAAUUGACUGUUAUGCUCAUCAAGAGGCCUAACCUUUGCAUUUGGUUUGAGAAACAACCUCAUGCAGCAAACUAUUAUGCGCAGACAACGGGCGUUACUGCAGCACCAUCCCAAAACAAAAAUGCAUCUUCUCUACCUCACUCAGUCACUCAAUGUCUGCAUCUGCAGUGUCUUCUGAGCUUCACCUACUGAUCUCCACGCAUUAUCUGCCCACUGGUUGAGACAAAGGAAAGACCUCAUAAGACUGACACUAAUAUUUUCUUCAAAUAAAGUGGAGCUUAAUUCUUAGUGAGUGGAAGUGAAUAUACCUAAAAAAAUAGCUCUUUCACAAUUAACCAAGAAUACUAGGUAUUACUCAAUACGCAUCAUUCAUACAAUUUAUUUUUUUUCCUUCCCCCCGCAUGUAAUAUCUGUCAGCCCUAGGAGAACUAGUUGAUGGAAAAAAAUAUCAUGUUGCUGAUUAGGAAAGAGGAAGCUACUUCUUAAGCAUUUCUUUUGCUUUAAAAUUGAGACUUAAUCAGACAUGGUAAUCACAAAAACAGACCCCACAGCAUGUUAAAAUAUGGCAAUGCAUGGCUGCAAACAUAGAAUGCAAUUUUAGAAAUUUGCAUCCAAAAGAUGCUGAAGGGGG